GCCCAGACUCCUACGGGAGGCAGCAGUGGGGAAUAUUGCACAAUGGGGGGAACCCUGAUGCAGCGACGCCGCGUGGGUGAAGGAGCACCUCGGUGCGUAAAGCCCUAUCGGCAGGGAAGAAACAGACGGUACCUGACUAAGAAGCCCCGGCUAACUACGUGCCAGCAGCCGCGGGAAUACGUAGGGGGCAAGCGUUAUCCGGAUUUACUGGGUGUAAAGGGAGCGUAGACGGCAAUGCAAGCCAGAUGUGAAAGCCCGGGGCCCAACCCCGGGACUGCUCUGGAAACUGCGGCGCUGGAGUACGGGAGGGGCAGGCGGAAUUCCUGGUGUAGCGGUGAAAUGCGUAGAUAUCAGGAGGAACACCGGCGGCGAAGGCGGCCUGCUGGACCGUGACUGACGUUGAGUCUCGAGAGCGUGGUGAGCAAACAGGAUUAGAUACCCGAGUAU
rnacentral:rRNA from 1 species